AGGUAUUCUCACAGAUAUUCCAACAGAUAUUCCCACAGGUAUUCUCACAGGUCUCAUCACAGGUAUUCCCACAGGUAUUCCCACAGGUAUUCCCACAGGUAUUCCCACAGUAUUCUCACAGGUAUGCUCACAGGUAUGCUCACAGAUAUUCCAACAGAUAUUCCCACAGGUAUUCUCACAGGUAUUCCCACAGGUAUUCUCACAGAUAUUCCAACAGAUAUUCCCACAGGUAUUCUCACAGGUAUCCUCACAGGUAUGCUCACAGAUAUUCAAACAGAUAUUCCCACAGGUAUGCUCACAGGUAUCCUCACAGGUAUUCCCACAGGUAUGCUCACAGAUAUUCCAACAGGUAUUCCCACAGGUAUGCUCAUAGGUAUCCUCAUAGGUAUUCCCACAGGUAUCCUCACAGGUAUUCCCACAGGUAUGCUCACAGGUAUCCUCACAGGUAUUCCCACAGGUAUUCUCACAGAUAUUCCAACAGAUAUUCCCACAGGUAUUCUCACAGGUCUCAUCACAGGUAUUCCCACAGGUAUUCUCACAGGUAUGCUCACAGAUAUUCCAACAGAUAUUCCCACAGGUAUUCUCACAGGUAUUCCCACAGGUAUGCUCACAGAUAUUCCCACAGGUAUUCCCACAGGUAUUCUCACAGGUAUUCUCACAGGUAUCCUCACAGGUAUGCUCACAGAUAUUCAAACAGAUAUUCCCACAGGUAUGCUCACAGGUGUCCCCACAGGUAUUCUCACAGGUAUCCUCACAGGUAUGCUCACAAAUAUCCCAACAGAUAUUCUCACGGGUAUCCUCACAGAUAUUCUCACAGGUCUCCUCAUACGUAUUCCCACAGGUAUGCUCACAGGUAUCCUCACAGGUAUGCUCACAGAUAUUCCAACAGAUAUUCCCACAGGUAUUCUCACAGGUAUCCUCACAGGUAUUCCCACAGGUAUGCUCACAGGUAUGCUCACAGAUAUUCCAACAGGUAUUCCCACAGGUAUUCUCACAGGUCUCCUCAUACGUAUUCCCACAGGUAUUCCCACAGGUAUUCCCACAGGUAUUCCCACAGGUAUUCUUACAGGCGUUCCUGUAGGUACUCCCUCAGGUAUUCCCACAUACUUUCCACAAGUAUUCCCACCGAUGUUUCCUCAGGUGUUCGUUUAG
rnacentral:lncRNA from 1 species